GACAUACUUUCUCCGUCCAACAAAAAAUGUCUCAAGUUAGUCAAAAUUUGGAUAUAUUUAGACAUGAUUUAGUAUAUAGGCAUUCAAAUUUAGUCAAAGAUAAGACAUCUUUUGUUGGAUGGAGGAAGUACAUU
rnacentral:pre_miRNA from 1 species